AGUGAACGCUGGCGGUAGGCCUAACACAUGCAAGUCGAACGGCAGCACAGUAAGAGCUUGCUCUUACGGGUGGCGAGUGGCGGACGGGUGAGGAAUACAUCGGAAUCUACUUUUUCGUGGGGGAUAACGUAGGGAAACUUACGCUAAUACCGCAUACGACCUACGGGUGAAAGCAGGGGAUCUUCGGACCUUGCGCGAUUGAAUGAGCCGAUGUCGGAUUAGCUAGUUGGCGGGGUAAAGGCCCACCAAGGCGACGAUCCGUAGCUGGUCUGAGAGGAUGAGCAGCCACACUGGAACUGAGACACGGUCCAGACUCCUACGGGAGGCAGCAGUGGGGAAUAUUGGACAAAGGGCGCAAGCCUGAUCCAGCCAUACCGCGUGGGUGAAGAAGGCCUUCGGGUUGUAAAGCCCUUUUGUUGGGAAAGAAAAGCAGCAGGUUAAUACCCCGCUGUUCUGACGGUACCCAAAGAAUAAGCACCGGCUAACUUCGUG
rnacentral:rRNA from 1 species